rnacentral:rRNA from 1 species
AUGAUACUUCCGAAAGCCAAAGCAGGCAUGGGUUUCCGUUCCAUGUAUGCUUUUAACCAAGCACUUCUCGCAAAGCAGGCUUGGCAUCUUCUGGAUACCCUAGAUAGCUUAUGCGCACGCUUACUACAUGCAAAAUAUUAUCCAAAUGGAAAUCUCCUUGAUGCACUUUUUUCUAGAAAUUAUCCAGCUGUUUGGAAGGGAAUUGAAUAUGGUCUUGACCUUGUCAAGAAAGGUAUUAUAUGGUGUGUGGAUAAUAGUACAUUGAUCAUAGCUUGGAGGGACCCUUGGAUCCCUCGAGGAUCUUCUCGCCGUCCGGUGUCUUCCAAGCGGCAUUGCCGUUUUAACCGGGUUUCAAAUUUUUUAGGUGAGCAUGCGAUAACUCACAAGGUAGGAUAUCGAUUGUAG